rnacentral:rRNA from 1 species
GACGAACGCUGGCGGCGUGCUUAACACAUGCAAGUCGAACGGAAAGGCCCUGCUGGGGGGGGGUGCGCGGGGGACGAACGGGUAAGAAACACGUGAGUAACCUACCCUUGACUUUUAGAGAACGGCAAGUAGCGGGAGUUAAGACCAUAUAGUAGCGCCUCCUGCAGGGGGGGGGUUGGAAAGGGUGGGCGGUUGGGGAUGGACUCGCGGCUUAUCAGCUUGUGGGUGGGGGAGUGCCUUCCCAAGGCUGUGGCGGGUAGCCGGCGUGAGAGGGUGACCGGCCACUUGGGGAUUGAGAUACGGCCCAGCCCCCUCCGGGAGGCAGAAGGGGGGAAUUUUGCACAAGGGGCGGAACCCUGAUGCACAACCGCCGCGUGCGGGAUGCCGGCUUUCGGUUUGAAACCCCCUUCAGCCUGUACCGAACUUUUAGUGACGGUACUGGGUAAAGAAGCACCGGCUAACUACGUG